UCUAUUUAACCAAAGUUUAUAUGGCUGUAUAUGAGAGAGUUAUUGAAUAGUAUCCAAAAAUUAAAAAUCCAGUAUAAAUCCAACCAAAUUAAAAUCUAAAAAUAGGAAUAAAUCAAACCAACUAGACAAUAAGCAAACCAAAUCAAAAAACAAAUAGUCAGGACUAAGCACUGACUUUGCCAAACUCCAUCGCCACAGCACUGAUGAUUCCCAUCGAUAUCCCAUUGUUGUCGAUCAAUACUGAAGCGAGAACAACAAUAAGCAAAGAAUGCAAUCAACACAAAACUCAGAAAAAAUAAAACAAACAUAAUAAGAAAAUAAAACAACUAGUAUACACUAAAUUGGAGAAAGCCUUCAAACUAAAACAAGAGUGUUGAUCAUCCAAGCACUACUAUAAAAGGGAAGCAUUCAGAGCUCAGCUAAAUAAUGAUAUAGGGGAGCAGAAAUCGCCGGACGUAACAGCGCGGUUUCGAGAAUUCAAUGUUACUAAAAUCAAACCCUCCUUGAAGUCAUAUAAAAACCCUCAAGUAAAUUAAAUUUAUCGAGCAAAUCUCUCAUCGAAAAAGACUAGAACAUGCAAAAUAAAAGCCGUCCACGAUCGGCAAGGAAAAUUAGUGAUAGAAGUUAAAAAAAUAACUAUAAAUCUAACAAAAUCACAAAAUGUAAAAUCACCAAUCACAAAGUAACUCGGCAAAUUAUAGGCAAAGUCG
rnacentral:lncRNA from 1 species